rnacentral:rRNA from 1 species
UGCCAGCAGCCGCGGUAAUACAUAGGGGUCAAGCGUUGUCCGGAUUUAUUGGGCGUAAAGAGCUCGUAGGUGGUUAAAAAAGUUGGUGGUGAAAUCCCAGAGCUUAACUCUGGAACUGCCAUCAAAACUUUUUAGCUAGAGUGUGAUAGAGGAAAGCAGAAUUUCUAGUGUAGAGGUGAAAUUCGUAGAUAUUAGAAAGAAUACCAAUUGCGAAGGCAGCUUUCUGGAUCAUUACUGACACUGAGGAACGAAAGCAUGGGUAGCGAAGAGGAUUAGAUA